UACGGGGGGGCAAGCGUUGUUCGGAAUUACUGGGCGUAAAGGGCUCGUAGGCGGCCAACUAAGUCAUACGUGAAAUCCCUCGGCUUAACCGGGGAACUGCGUCUGAUACUGGAUGGCUUGAGUUCGGGAGAGGGAUGCGGAAUUCCAGGUGUAGCGGUGAAAUGCGUAGAUAUCUGGAGGAACACCGGUGGCGAAGGCGGCAUCCUGGACCGAUACUGACGCUGAGGAGCGAAAGCCAGGGAGCAAACGGGG
rnacentral:rRNA from 1 species